rnacentral:rRNA from 1 species
CCUACGGGGCGCAGCAGUAAGGGAUAUUGGUCAAUGGGGGAAACCCUGAACCAGCAACGCCGCGUGAGGGAAGACGGUUUUCGGAUUGUAAACCUCUGUCCUUUGUGAAGAUGAUGCCGGUAGCAGAGGAGGAAGCUCCGGCUAAUUACGUGCCAGCAGCCGCGGUAAUACGUAGGGCGCGAGCGUUGUCCGGAUUUACUGGGUGUAAAGGGUGCGUAGGCGGCUUGGCAAGUCAGUAGUGAAAUCCAUGGGCUGAACCCAUGAACUGCUAUUGAAACUGUCGAGCUGGAGUUGGAGAGAAGUAAGCGGAAUGCGAGGUGUAGCGGUGGAAUGCUUAGAGAUCGGGCAGAACCCCGAUUGCGAAGGCAGCGUACCGGCUCCACACUGACGCUGAGGCACGAAAGCGUGGGUAUCGAACAGGAUUAGAUACCCUAGUAGUC